UAGAAGUUAAAAAAAAAAUUUAAAUAAGAACUUAACUUUUGGCCAAUAUAAAAUUAUAGAACACUUAAAAACAAACAACUUUUGGUAUUUGCACUUCUUCUGAUUUUGAGUGGAAGGCCUUCAAAUUAUGAAUCAAAUUUCUACCAAUUUUGAGGAAAUUAUCAAAAUGAACCAUGUCAGGCGUCCUACCAAAGUUUGAGCAACUUUAUCUCCCAAUCUAGCCAGUUUUUG
rnacentral:lncRNA from 1 species